rnacentral:rRNA from 1 species
UACGUAGGGGGCAAGCGUUGUCCGGAUUUAUUGGGCGUAAAGAGCGUGUAGGCGGUUUUGUAGGUCCGCUGUGAAAACUCGAGGCUCAACCUCGAGACGCCGGUGGAAACCAUCAGGCUAGAGUCCGGAAGAGGAGAGUGGAAUUCCUGGUGUAGCGGUGAAAUGCGCAGAUAUCAGGAAGAACACCCGUGGCUAAGGCGGCUCUCUAGUACGGUACUGACGCUGAGACGCGAAAGCGUGGGGAGCGAACAGG